rnacentral:misc_RNA from 1 species
GAUGAAGAACGUAGCGAAAUGCGAUAAGUAAUGUGAAUUGCAGAAUUCAGUGAAUCAUCGAAUCUUUGAACGCACCUUGCGCCCUUUGGCAUUCCGAAGGGUAUGCUCGUUUGAGUGUCAUUGUACUCUCACUCUCCCGAUCUUUGGAUCGGGAGUGGUGGACUUGGGUGUUGCUGCUUUACCGUGGCUCACCUCAAAUGGAUUCGUGCAACUCCUGGUUGGACAUAGUACGGCGUGAUAAGUGUCUUCGCCGGCACCUCACUAGAGGGUGGCUGACCGGGAGCUCUGUGCUUCAAACCGUCUUCGGACAACAACUGACAACUUGACCUCAAAUCGAGUAGGACCACCCGCUGAACUUAAGCAUAUCAAUAAGCGGAGGA